GGGUUGAGGAGGAAUUGGAAGUUUGUCGGCUUAGACCUGGUGUCAUGCCAUCAGUGUUAAACUUCCCAGCUCAUCUUUGAAGAGUACAUGCCAGAAAGACCACAACCAAGCAGCCUUGAGAUCUUAGGCAGCGUCUCCUUCAGGUCCCUCUCUAUCUCCCCACACAUCCACCAACCACUGGAACACAUCUCCAAAGUUCUGCCGGGCCAGCUCAGCUUCCCCUCAGAAGAAGUGCUGCCACCUGCCAGAUGAAGGAGCCUUUUGAGAGGCAACUGGCAUCGUGAUUGGACUGUACUUUGGUCUGUUCCAAUCCAGCUUCAGCUCCAGAGACAGCAGGCGGGACGAGUCAAUGGAGGCCGGGUGGACGAAGGCAUGCAGCUGAGUACAAUCCAGAAAACAACAGAGGAGUGCAGCAGCCCAGGGCCAGAACAACCAGAGUAGCACAUUAUGUCUCUUAGAAAACAUCAUAGUAUAGCCUUUGGUAUGAAAAAACGCCAUCAUAUACAUCGUAUAUUGUACAAAUAACAAGUCAAAGGAAAGAGACAUACAUUGUAGAAUUGUAGUAAUUGUGGGCUGACUGAUUUACUGAUUAUCAGUAUUUAAUUUUUUACUGAUUUACGGUAAUAAAUACAUUUAAAAAUGGU